GUGUUUAGUUAUUUUAUGCCAGUGCCACGUGCCAGUGCGGCUAGUACCAAAUUAUCACCCUAUUAUGCAACCGGCUAUCUGGAGGCCGAAAUGGAUGAAAUAUGGGAAUUAACUAGUGCAGAGAUUCGACGCG